rnacentral:rRNA from 1 species
CCUACGGGGGGCAGCAGUGAGGAAUAUUGGUCAAUGGACGAGAGUCUGAACCAGCCAAGUAGCGUGAAGGAUGACUGCCCUAUGGGUUGUAAACUUCUUUUAUAAAGGAAUAAAACGAGGCACGUGUGCCUUUUUGCAUGUACUUUAUGAAUAAGGAUCGGCUAACUCCGUGCCAGCAGCCGCGGUAAUACGGAGGAUCCGAGCGUUAUCCGGAUUUAUUGGGUUUAAAGGGAGCGUAGAUGGGUUGUUAAGUCAGUUGUGAAAGUUUGCGGCUCAACCGUAAAAUUGCAAUUGAUACUGGCAGUCUUGAGUACGUUUGAGGUAGGCGGAAUUCGUGGUGUAGCGGUGAAAUGCUUAGAUAUCACGAAGAACCCCGAUUGCGAAGGCAGCUUACUAAACUGUGACUGACGUUGAGGCUCGAAGGUGUGGGUAUCGAACAGGAUUAGAUACCCCAGUAGUC